GCCUCUGUGUUGUAGCCUGGAUAAGCAUAAGGGACUUUCGCUCCCUAGACACGAGUUCAAAUCUCGUCAGAGGCACCA
rnacentral:tRNA from 1 species